rnacentral:rRNA from 1 species
GACGAACGCUGGCGGCGUGCCUAAUACAUGCAAGUCGAGCGAAUCGAUGGGAGCUUGCUCCCUGAGAUUAGCGGCGGACGGGUGAGUAACACGUGGGUAACCUGCCUGUAAGACUGGGAUAACUUCGGGAAACCGGAGCUAAUACCGGAUACUUUCUUUUCUCGCAUGAGGGAAGAUGGAAAGAUGGUUCUGCUAUCACUUACAGAUGGACCCGCGGCGCAUUAGCUAGUUGGUGAGGUAACGGCUCACCAAGGCAACGAUGCGUAGCCGACCUGGGAGGGUGAUCGGCCACACUGGGACUGGGACACGGCCCAGACUCCUACGGGAGGCAGCAGUAGGGAAUCUUCCGCAAUGGACGAAAGUCUGACGGAGCAACGCCGCGUGAGCGAAGAAGGCCUUCGGGUCGUAAAGCUCUGUUGUUAGGGAAGAACAAGUACGAGAGUAACUGCUCGUACCUUGACGGUACCUAACCAGAAAGCCACGGCUAACUACGUGCCAGCCGCCGCCGUAAUAC